UACGUAGGGUCCGAGCGUUGUCCGGAAUUACUGGGCGUAAAGAGCUCGUAGGUGGUUUGUCGCGUUGUUCGUGAAAACUCACAGCUCAACUGUGGGCGUGCGGGCGAUACGGGCAGACUUGAGUACUGCAGGGGAGACUGGAAUUCCUGGUGUAGCGGUGAAAUGCGCAGAUAUCAGGAGGAACACCGAUGGCGAAGGCAGGUCUCUGGGCAUUAACUGACGCUGAGGAGCGAAAGCAUGGGGAGCGAACAGG
rnacentral:rRNA from 1 species